rnacentral:rRNA from 1 species
GAUGAACGCUAGCGAUAGGCUUAACACAUGCAAGUCGAGGGGCAGCAUGGUCUUAGCUUGCUAAGACUGAUGGCGACCGGCGCACGGGUGCGUAACGCGUAUGCAACUUGCCUCACAGAGGGGGAUAACCCGUCGAAAGACGGACUAAUACCGCGUACACUCCAUCUUGGGCAUCCAAGGUAGAGGAAAUGAAAUUCGCUGUGAGAUAGGCAUGCGUCCCAUUAGCUAGUUGGUGAGGUAACGGCUCACCAAGGCGACGAUGGGUAGGGGAACUGAGAGGUUGAACCCCCACACUGGUACUGAGACACGGACCAGACUCCUACGGGAGGCAGCAGUGAGGAAUAGUGGUCAAUGGGCGAGAGCCUGAACCAGCCAAGUCGCGUGAAGGAUGACUGUCUUAUGGAUUGUAAACUUCUUUUAUACGGGAAUAACAAGAGUCACGUGUGACCCCCUGCAUGUACCGUAUGAAUAAGCAUCGGCUAACUCCGU